rnacentral:rRNA from 1 species
CCCAGACUCUACGGGAGGCAGCAGUGGGGAAUUUUGGACAAUGGGGGAAACCUGAUCCAGCCAUCCCGCGUGUGCGAUGAAGGCCUUCGGGUUGUAAAGCACUUUUGUCAGGGAAGAAAAGGUUUCGGAUAAUACCCGGAACUGAUGACGGUACCUGAAGAAUAAGCACCGGCUAACUACGUGCCAGCAGCCGCGGUAAUACGUAGGGUGCAAGCGUUAAUCGGAAUUACUGGGCGUAAAGCGUGCGCAGGCGGUUCGGAAAAGAAAGAUGUGAAAUCCCAGGGCUCAACCUUUGGAACUGCAUUUUUUAACUACCGAACUAGAGUAUGUCAGAGGGGGGUGGAAUUCCACGUGUAGCAGUGAAAUGCGUAGAUAUGUGGAGGAACACCGAUGGCGAAGGCAGCCCCCUGGGGAUAAUACUGACGCUCAUGCACGAAAGCGUGGGGAGCAAACAGGAUUAGAUACCCUGGUAGUCCACGCCCUAAACGAUGUCAACUAGCUGUUGGGCCCUUCGGGGCUUAGUAGCGCAGCUAACGCGUGAAGUUGACCGCCUGGGGAGUACGGUCGCAAGAUUAAAACUCAAAGGAAUUGACGGGGACCCGCACAAGCGGUGGAUGAUGUGGAUUAAUUCGAUGCAACGCGAAAAACCUUACCUACCCUUGACAUGUCUGGAAUCCUGAAGAGAUUUAGGAGUGCUCGCAAGAGAACCGGAACACAGGUGCUGCAUGGCUGUCGUCAGCUCGUGUCGUGAGAUGUUGGGUUAAGUCCCGCAACGAGCGCAACCCUUGUCAUUAGUUGCUACAUUUAGUUGAGCACUCUAAUGAGACUGCCGGUGACAAACCGGAGGAAGGUGGGGAUGACGUCAAGUCCUCAUGGCCCUUAUGGGUAGGGCUUCACACGUCAUACAAUGGUCGGGACAGAGGGUUGCCAAACCGCAAGGUGGAGCUAAUCUCAUAAACCCGAUCCACCUCCAGGUUGCAGGCUGCAACUCGCCUGCAUGAAGUCGGAAUCGCUAGUAAUCGCGGAUCAG